rnacentral:rRNA from 1 species
CGCUUGCGGCGUGCCUAAGAAAUGCAAGUCGAGCGGGGUAGCAAUACCUAGCGGCGAACGGUCGCGUAACACGUAGGCAACCUGCCCGAAAGACCGGGAUAACGGCUCGAAAGGGUCGCUAAUACCGGAUGUGGCCGGUGGAAGACAUCUUCUGCCGAUUAAAUCACUUGUGGCUUUCGGAGGGGCCUGCGGCCUAUCAGCUAGAUGGCGAGGUAACGGCUCACCAUGGCGACGACGGGUAGCUGGUCUGAGAGGAUGGUCAGCCGGACUGGGACUGAGAUACGGCCCAGACUCCUACGGGGGGCAGCAAUUAGGAAUCUUGCGCAAUGGGCGAAAGCCUGACGCAGCGACGCCGCGUGGAGGANGAAGGCCUUCGGGUUGUNAACUCCUUUUGACGAAGAAGAAAAAAAUGACGGUACUCGUC